rnacentral:misc_RNA from 1 species
GAUGAAGAACGUAGCGAAAUGCGAUAGGUAAUGUGAAUUGCAGAAUUCAGUGAAUCAUCGAAUCUUUGAACGCACAUUGCGCCCCCUGGUAUUCCGGGGGGCAUGCCUGUCCGAGCGUCAUUACAACCCUCAAGCUCAGCUUGGUGUUGGGCCCCGCCGCCCCGGCGGGCCCUAAAGUCAGUGGCGGUGCCGUCCGGCUCCGAGCGUAGUAAUUCUUCUCGCUCUGGAGGCCCGGUCGUGUGCUCGCCAGCAACCCCCAAUUUUUUUCAGGUUGACCUCGGAUCAGGUAGGGAUACCCGCUGAACUUAAGCAUAUCAAUAAGCGGAGA